rnacentral:rRNA from 1 species
UGCUCGAGUGGCGAACGGGUGAGUAACACGUGAGUAACCUGCCCUUGACUUUGGGAUAACUCCAGGAAACUGGGGCUAAUACCGGAUAGGAGCUCCUGCUGCAUGGUGGGGGUUGGAAAGUUUCGGCGGUUGGGGAUGGACUCGCGGCUUAUCAGCUUGUUGGUGGGGUAGUGGCUUACCAAGGCUUUGACGGGUAGCCGGCCUGAGAGGGUGACCGGCCACAUUGGGACUGAGAUACGGCCAAG